rnacentral:lncRNA from 12 species
CAAAUAGUGAUUGCAGUAAUGAUUUUAACUUUAAUGAUUGCUUUAAAAGUGUGCUAGAAAUAGAUUUUCCAUAAAUGGACUAAUAAUAAUAAUGAUAAUAAUAAUACCUACCAUUUAUCGAGGGCUUACUAUGCAUCAGGAGCUAUGCUAUGUUCUGCAUAUACAUUAUCUUAACCGAUUAAAAAUGUGUUGAUGAUGUGGAUUCAUGAGAAGAGGGUAUGAAUUUUGUGGGAGUAUAUGUCUAGAAAGUUACCCGAGAAAAGAAUUAGCUGAAGAAAGGUUUCUUUAGAAUUCUACAUAUAAGGACUUUCCAUUAUAACAAUAGCACUUCUGAGGUGCAUCUUUCCAAGAUCAGCAAGGAGAGAAUAUUUGAAAUUGACUCUGAGCACUCUCCAUGGACUGCUGUGCAGGAGGCUCAUUCCACAUGCAUGAAUAGGAGGCUCUGGCAGUAAAAACAACCUUGGGAGGAACCCUUACUCAAAACUACCCACCAAAACUACAGCAAAAGACAUUUCUGCUUGGCUUGAGUCUGGAAUAUGUCAUCUGUUAUCAGAUCCUGAAAAUGUUGAGCAUUUGUGCAAAAGGAGUUCAGCUACGCGUGUAUGCACAUGCAGUGGUGCCUUUGGUCCCUUUUGACUGCAAGUUCCAAAUUUACCAAAGCAGAAUAUGUGGAGGCUUCCAACGUCUGUGCCGUUCUUGGUGCAUAGGAAGGAGUGAUCAACACAAGGGCAGAGGAGCAUUUUGGACAGUCUCACUCCCACCAAACUGACACUGAUUGCCCAUCUUGACUCAGGAGCAUUUGUUCCCGGGCUGAUACCUUUUCCUCAUGAGUGAGGUUCGUGCACACCAAUAUCCUUGGUAAUGCCAAACAGUGGAAUGCUAAUUAAAAUAAUAGGAUGGGAAAACAUAGAGGGUCUUCCUUCAGAGUUGUCGAUCUACUGACUCAAUUUAUUGCUGUAAGUGUGAGCAAAUAACAUGGGAGUUGAAUGUGUUUAAAAUGGGAAAGUUGAGAAGAGUUUCCUCAGUACCUUCAUGUUCCCUUCCCUUUCUACAUAUCAGAACAUGGCCUUAG